AUUGAACGCUGGCGGCAGGCCUAACACAUGCAAGUCGAGCGGCAGCGGGAAAGUAGCUUGCUACCUUUGCCGGCGAGCGGCGGACGGGUGAGUAAUGCCUGGGAAAUUGCCCAGUCGAGGGGGAUAACAGUUGGAAACGACUGCUAAUACCGCAUACGCCCUACGGGGGAAAGCAGGGGACCUUCGGGCCUUGCGCGAUUGGAUAUGCCCAGGUGGGAUUAGCUAGUUGGUGAGGUAAUGGCUCACCAAGGCGACGAUCCCUAGCUGGUCUGAGAGGAUGAUCAGCCACACUGGAACUGAGACACGGUCCAGACUCCUACGGGAGGCAGCAGUGGGGAAUACUGCACAAUGGGGGAAACCCUGAUGCAGCCGUGCCGCGUGUGUGAAGAAGGCCUUCGGGUUGUAAAGCACUUUCAGCGAGGAGGAAAGGUUGAUGCCUAAUACGUAUCAACUGUGACGUUACUCGCAGAAGAAGCACCGGCUAACUCCGUGCCAGCCGCCGCCGUAACAC
rnacentral:rRNA from 1 species